CAUUGAAACUGGGAGACUUGAGUAUGUUUGAGGUAGGCGGAAUGCGUGGUGUAGCGGUGAAAUGCAUAGAUAUCACGCAGAACUCCGAUUGCGAAGGCAGCUUGCCAAGCCAUAACUGACACUGAAGCACGAAAGCGUGGGUAUCAAACAGGAUUAGAUACCCUGGUAGUCCACGCAGUAAACGAUGAUUACUAGGAGUUUGCGAUAAAAUGUAAGCUCUACAGCGAAAGCGUUAAGUAAUCCACCUGGGGAGUACGCCGGCAACGGUGAAACUCAAAGGAAUUGACGGGGGCCCGCACAAGCGGAGGAACAUGUGGUUUAAUUCGAUGAUACGCGAGGAACCUUACCCGGGUUUGAACGCAGUCCGACCGCCGAUGAAAGUCGGCUUCUAGCAAUAGCGGAUUGCGAGGUGCUGCAUGGUUGUCGUCAGCUCGUGCCGUGAGGUGUCGGCUUAAGUGCCAUAACGAGCGCAACCCUUGCCGAUAGUUACUAGCAAGUAGCGUUGAGGACUCUAUCGGGACUGCCAGCGUAAGCUGUGAGGAAGGCGGGGAUGACGUCAAAUCAGCACGGCCCUUACAUCCGGGGCGACACACGUGUUACAAUGGCGUGGACAGAGGGCAGCGACCUGGCGACAGGGAGCCAAUCCGGAAACCACGUCUCAGUUCGGAUCGGAGUCUGCAACCCGACUCCGUGAAGCUGGAUUCGCUAGUAAUCGCGCAUCAGCCAUGGCGCGGUGAAUACGUUCCCGGGCCUUGUACACACCGCCCGUCAAGCCAUGGGAGCCGGGGGUGCCUGAAGUCCGUAACCGCGAGGGGCGGCCUAGGGUAAAACUGGUGACUGGGGCUAAGUCGUAACAAGGUAACCA
rnacentral:rRNA from 1 species